UGCCCUGCCUCGGCGAGCAUCUGCUCCUCCUCGUCCUCCGGGGACGCGGGUUCCGGCUCUGGCUCGGGGGCCGGUUCGGGCUCGGGUGUGGGGCGGC
rnacentral:tRNA from 1 species